UCCGGAGGGUGCAAUCGUUAUCCGGAUUCACUGGGUUUAAAGGGAGCGUAGGCGGAAUAAUAAGUCAGUGGUGAAAGCCCCGGGCUCAACUUGGGAAUUGCCAUUGAUACUGUUAUUCUUGAGUUCGGUUGAGGUAGGCGGAAUGUUGCAUGUAGCGGUGAAAUGCUUAGAUAUGCAACAGAACACCGAUUGCGAAGGCAGCUUACCAAGCCGACACUGACGCUGAGGCUCGAAAGCGUGGGGAUAAAACAGG
rnacentral:rRNA from 1 species